CGUGUAGGCGGAAUGUCAGGUGUCGUGUGAAAGCCCCGGGCUCAACCCGGGAAUGGCAUGGCAAACCGGCAUUCUUGAGGCAGGUAGAGGUGACUGGAACGACUGGUGGAGCGGUGAAAUGCGUAGAUAUCAGUUGGAACGCCAGAGGCGAAAGCGAGUCACUGGACCUGUCCUGACGCUGAGACGCGAAAGCGUGGGGAGCAAACAGGAUUAGAUACCCUGGUAGUCC
rnacentral:rRNA from 1 species